UACGAAGGGGGCUAGCGUUGCUCGGAAUCACUGGGCGUAAAGCGCACGUAGGCGGAUUGCUAAGUCAGGGGUGAAAUCCUGGAGCUCAACUCCAGAACUGCCUUUGAUACUGAGGAUCUUGAGUUCGGGAGAGGUGAGUGGAACUGCGAGUGUAGAGGUGAAAUUCGUAGAUAUUCGCAAGAACACCAGUGGCGAAGGCGGCUCACUGGCCCGAUACCGACGCUGAGGCACGAAAGCGUGGGGAGCAAACAGG
rnacentral:rRNA from 1 species